UGCCAGUAAUUGCUGCCUUUCUGUGAUGUAGUUUAGAGACUGUGUGAGUUCCGUGAACUUUAGGAAGGGUGGGUUUUCCAGCUUGUUAGUCAGUUGUGCUACCUCCCACGUGGAGAAAUGGGGUGAUGAGUGCUUCUAAGAAGCUUGAAGGAAGGUGAUCUUCAGGUGUUGCAGUGUGCCCUUGGGGCUAUAAUGAAGAUAAAUACUGACACCUUCCAAUUCUCUUUUAAAAAAUCUCUUCAGUGCUAAAGAGGCCCAAACUGUCAUCCAAUAAAGAAGGAAAUAGGCCCUGAGUAGGCCUGGAGUGACGCUGCCCUGUCCCUCAGUUCCUUGGCUCAUAAGAAUGGGAACAGUGAGGCCAGUGGAGAUGCUUUGUGCUGCUUGCAGGUGGCUCAGAGGUGUCUGAAAACAGCAGGAGAGAGAGAGGGAUGAUGGAUCUGAGGGGUGCUGGCUCUGGAUUAAAAACAUUUGCAGAACAACUCAAGCAAAUCAAGGCUGUAGUCUGCAGACAAGUGUCUGAACUAGACAGAGCUAUGCUUUUGCCCUGCUGGAAAUACCAGGUGUGUGUAGUGUGUGGUGUCCUGGGGCUCUGUGCGGGAGGAAUGGAGAGGCCCUGGGGCCCCAGUGUCACAGGCACCUCAGCUGAACACAGCCCUACACUGCCAGGCAGGAAGACAUCCAGGGGCUGGGAGGGGAGCUCUGGUGUGGAAAAGGCUGAGAGCUGUGGCUGAAGGGUUUUGCUGCUCAUCAGGAACACCCCGAGGGUUUUACUACAGUGGGAAUAACAGCUAAAGAUUUAAGUGAGCGCUAAUAACAAGGAGAAUAAAAUAAGAUUGUAAGAAAAGCAAGCAGAAAAGAUUUCUCAGCUGCAAAAUACUCUGUAAUGCUGCAAAGCAACAUUGGCUCACUGCAGACCAAAAUCCUGAGCCGCUGGGAAGAGACGGCUCGGAGAUUCCCCAGUCAUUGACUGGUUUUAAUGUAUUCCUCGCAGCCAGCCAGCGCUCCCGCUCCCGGCUUGCGGGCACGGCAGCCAACUCGCCCCCGCCGCAGCCAAUCAACGCCGCUGGAGCCGGGCUGCUCCUGCGAUGAACGUGAAGGAAGCCGAUGGCUGCGGAGUAAUGCAGACAAAGCACGGGGAUGGAGUCCCAGGAGAUGUGAUCCACCCCAUUAAAGGAGGCGUCCGUAGCCUCUGCAGCUGUGUUGAUGCUGCUUCGCGCAAGAGGCACCAGCCUCUCGUCCCCCCCGGGAGAUCGUUACGGCAUUAAUUGCCUCUGCACAAAACCCGGCCGUGAGGCUGCUCCAAGGCAGCCACCCGCUCCUGCCUCCAGCCCUCACUGAUUCCGAGAGCCCAGCCAGCAGGAGCGGCGCCCCUCCAGCUGGUCCCCGUGGAUCAGAUGUCACCUGUACCCAAUGAAGCAGAUCCCGAAGUGCCACGAAUGGAUCCCAGGAUUCUUAUUUUCCUCCUCUACGUGAUGAUCCUUCACGAGCUGGUCAGUGGCUGGAUGGAGUACCAAAAGCAGAUAGCCAAGCCAAAGAAGCAGGCGGGUCCGGUUUGGUCUUCUAGCAGCGCCACCAGACCGAACCACUCCAGCUUCUCCAGGCCGUUGGUCCAUUCAGUGCGCAGGGAGCGGUACCGGGACUGGAGGAAACCGGGACGGAUCAUCCGGAAGGCGUGAGGACACCCCAAGGUCUGUCAGGGAGCAUGGAGUGAGCUUUCUGGGCCAAAGACACCACCCCUUGUGCAGCCCACACCAACCACCGUGUAGCAACCACUGCGAGAGCGUCCCACAGGCACCAUGAGCUGCGCCCUGCAGCUUUCUCCUUCCCCUGAGCCUGGCGUGGCUGAGAAGGAAAGAGCCCCUUCCUCGCGGGGACCUGGCACUGUGUGGCGAGGGGCCGGGGGAGAUGCCCUCAGCCAGCAGCAGUGGCCUUGGAUGAGGUUUUUUCACCCCACGCAGCAAGGUGACUUUUCUUUCUUCUUCCCAAAGGGCUGAGUAGACGGAGAGCAGACUUCUUUAAGGCAGAAUGAAAUUAAUGAAAUUUGCUCCUUGGGUAACCGCAGGAAGUCUCCAAAGGGUUUCAGUCUCCUCUCGCCCACCCGAGGGCUGCAUGGCUGGUGAGAGUUGCCCAAAGUGAUGGAAAGCUUUGGUGUCCCGCUGGUGACCUGACCCCAGAGCCCCAGGGGGACGUGCUUCCACAGCAGCACCUAAAGAGAUGGCACUCAUUGCUUUGGAAAUGAGUUAAAUUGUUAAAUCUCACCCACGGGGGUCUGUACGUUCUUUCUGCUUUUCGUCACCACCGUUGAGUGGGUGGCUCUGGGCUGGAGGAAGGAAAGCACCCCGAACCGGUGACUCAGUUAUGCCACUGAAGGCAAUUGGCUGCAAUGACCUUGUAAUUAGAUUUCCUUGCAGCAUUCCCAGCAGCUGAGGCAAAUGUAAAAGUGACUUUCUAAUGAGCAGAUAGAUGGCAAAAGAAUACAAUAUUGCUCUUUUAUUAGUCUGUGAUUUAGACGUAAAAUUAGAUUUUAGAGGCAAGAGUCAGUCCUCGCGUCCUGCCGCCCUGCUUACAGUCAUGUGCAGAACGGGGAAUCUCUGAGCGCUGGCGGGAUUCUGACACCAGGCUCCUAACAGCAAAUGUUCAGGGCAAAACUGACUGCCUUGUUUGCUGAACGUAACGUUUGGCUCAAACACAGCCUGUUUUUCUCGUUGCCAACCAUUUAUAAGCCUGACUCAGGCUCGCAGACACAUUAUUCAGAAGUAGAUAGGGAAGGGACUCAGAACCAGGCAUGCCUUAUGCUGAAGUAGCCACCUGCUGCAUUUGCAUGUCCGUCUGCUUCCCGGCUGUGUGCGAGGCGCUCCUGAGGUGGGGGCUGCGUUUGCUGAAGCUUGCAGAAGGUGCCUGGGUGAGGGGAGAGAUCUGUGCCCAACCCGGGCACCCGGAGCCCCGAGCAGGAGGAAGCUGGGGGCACCCUGCUCCCGAGGUACCCGUCCUCUGCCCCGGGCAGGCCGGGCAAGUAGGCUGGUUGCAGGCCGGUUGCAGGCCUCUGCUUCUACGGGAGAUGAAGUUCUGGCCUUGUGAGAUGGAGUUUGUGUCUUGAGUUCUGAGAUUUUUUUUUGAAAAGGGGGCGGCUAGAAGUAGCAAGGAACCCGCUUUCUGCACAUCCCAAAGGAUAAACUUGCAAAGAUGUGCCUCAGCUCUGGGACACUGUGGCUAUCCCCGAGGCAUCCACUGCCUGUCCCAAUGCACACAGGUGCAUCCACAGAGAACAGAACAACAAAUGAAGAGAAGAUGUUGGGGGGAAAAACAGUGGGAAAGCAUUUCUGGGCGGUGGGGGGCUUUGCUUUCCCAGCCUGCCCCCAGCCUGUGGGGGACAUGGCUGGGUGCUCUGCCGACCCUUCUGCUGGUGUGGGGGAAUCUGCUGGGAGCGAUCAGUAUGCAGAGGUGUGUACCUGAAUUCCUGGAGUGGUGCAGGACAUGGCCGGGCUCCCAGCCUCAACGGAGCAGGCGGACCCGAAUGGGACAGAGAUGUCCAAACAGCCACACUCUUGGGAAGGGACAGGAAUGCCUUGCUUUGCUGAUCACAUGCUGGAUUUAUCCCUGUAAAUACCCUCCCGUUUCCUUCCAAUAAACUCUUUUACAUACA